rnacentral:rRNA from 1 species
GAUGAACGCUGGCGGCGUGCCUAAUACAUGCAAGUCGAGCGAACGGACGAGAAGCUUGCUUCUCUGAUGUUAGCGGCGGACGGGUGAGUAACACGUGGAUAACCUACCUAUAAGACUGGGAUAACUUCGGGAAACCGGAGCUAAUACCGGAUAAUAUUUUGAACCGCAUGGUUCAAAAGUGAAAGACGGUCUUGCUGUCACUUAUAGAUGGAUCCGCGCUGCAUUAGCUAGUUGGUAAGGUAACGGCUUACCAAGGCAACGAUGCAUAGCCGACGUGAGAGGGGGAUCGGCCACACUGGAACUGAGACACGGUCCAGACUCCUGCGGGAGGCAGCAGAAGGGAAUCUUCCGCAAUGGGCGAAAGCCUGACGGAGCAACGCCGCGUGAGUGAUGAAGGUCUUCGGAUCGUAAAACUCGGUUAUUAGGGAAGAACAUAUGUGUAAGUAACUGUGCACAUCUUGACGGUACCUAAUCAGAAAGCCACGGCUAACUACGUG